UUUCUUUCCUGAAUUCUUUUGACUUACCAUUGUCUUUUCAGAUCCAUUGCAGAAAGAUGACAUCAACAGAAAAGCCUUUGAGAAAUUCAAGAAGGAACAUAACUCCGUGCCAGCCACCGUUGAUAACGCGGUGCCGUCGGAGCGCUUCGAAGGUCCAGGUGGUGAUGGAAGCGCAGCCCCCUGGACCACGGAGGAACAGAAGCUUCUGGAGCAGGCCCUCAAGACGUUUCCGGUCAGCACGCCCGAACGCUGGGACAAGAUCGCCGCUGCCGUCCCCGGACGAAACAAGAAAGACUGCAUGAAGCGCUACAAGGAACUGGUGGAGAUGGUCAAGGCCAAGAAAGCUGCACAAGAGCAAGUUGCAAGCAAGAGUAAAAAAUGACAACACAGAGUUAAUCAGAGAAUCAUUAUUAUUAUUAGAAUGUUGUGUUUAAAAAAAAAAAAACAGGUAUCUUGCCAUUUAUACAUUUGAGUGCGACCCUGGGCCGGCUCCGUGGUCAACUGGUUCGUGCAUUGCAGUGUGAGCGCAGAGGUGAAGGGUUCAAAUCCAACUCCGGCCUGUUGCGCUGGCAUG